GAUGAACGCUAGCGGGAGGCCUAAUACAUGCAAGUCGAACGGUAACAGGGUAGCAAUAUCGCUGACGAGUGGCGCACGGGUGAGUAACACGUACACAAUCUGCCUUAUACUGGAGCAUACCCCCAAGAAAUUGGGAUUAAUUCUCCAUAAUAUAUUGAAGAGGCAUCUCUUUAAUAUUAAAACUCCGGUGGUAUAAGAUGAGUGUGCGUCUGAUUAGCUAGUCGGUGAGGUAACGGCUCACCAAGGCAACGAUCAGUAACUGGUCUGAGAGGAUGAUCAGUCGCACGGAAACUGAGACACGGGUCCGACUCCUACGGGAGGCAGCAGUAGGGAAUAUUGGACAAUGGAGGCAACUCUGAUCCAGCCAUCCCGCGUGAAGGAUUAAGGCCCUCUGGGUUGUAAACUUCUUUUCUCUGGGAAUAAAAACCGGUAUUCAUAUCGGCUUGAAGGUACCAGAGGAAUAAGCACCGGCUAACUCCGUGCCAGCAGCCGCAGUAAAAC
rnacentral:rRNA from 1 species